AGCUUUGCGCAGUGGCAGUAUCGUAGCCAAUGAGGUUUAUCCGAGGCGCGAUUAUUGCUAAUUGAAAACUUUUCAACUGUUUUUAAAGUUUUUAGACUUGUUAGUCUGGGGAUGACACUUAGCUUUUAUUCUUCCCAAACUGGA